rnacentral:rRNA from 1 species
GACGAACGCUGGCGGCGUGCUUAACACAUGCAAGUCGAACGGAAAGGCCCUGCUUGCAGGGUACUCGAGUGGCGAACGGGUGAGUAACACGUGGGUUAUCUGCCCUGCACUUCGGGAUAAGCCUGGGAAACUGGGUCUAAUACCGGAUAGGAGCCAUUUUUAGUGUGAUGGUUGGAAAGUUUUUUCGGUGUAGGAUGAGCUCGCGGCCUAUCAGCUUGUUGGUGGGGUAAUGGCCUACCAAGGCGGCGACGGGUAGCCGGCCUGAGGGGGUGGACAGCCACAUUGGGACUGAGAUACGGCCCAGACUCCUACGGGAGGCAGCAGUGGGGAAUAUUGCACAAUGGGCGCAAGCCUGAUGCAGCGACGCCGCGUGGGGGAUGACGGCCUUCGGGUUGUAAACUCCUUUCGCUAGGGACGAAGCUUUUUGUGACGGUACCUAGAUAAGAAGCACCGGCUAACUACGUG